rnacentral:rRNA from 1 species
GAAUAAGUACCGGCUAACUACGUGCCAGCAGCCGCGGUAAUACGUAGGGUCCAAGCGUUAAUCGGAAUUACUGGGCGUAAAGCGUGCGCAGGCGGUUGUGCAAGACCGAUGUGAAAUCCCCGAGCUUAACUUGGGAAUUGCAUUGGUGACUGCACGGCUAGAGUGUGUCAGAGGGGGGUAGAAUUCCACGUGUAGCAGUGAAAUGCGUAGAGAUGUGGAGGAAUGCCGAUGGCGAAGGCAGCCCCCUGGGAUAACACUGACGCUCAUGCACGAAAGCGUGGGGAGCAAACAGGAUUAGAUACCCUGGUAG